UCGUCACACUAUCAUUAACUGAAUCCAUAGGUUAAUGAGGCGAACCGGGGGAACUGAAACAUCUAAGUACCCCGAGGAAAAGAAAUCAACCGAGAUUCCCCCAGUAGCGGCGAGCGAACGGGGAGGAGCCCAGAGCCUGAAUCAGCAUGUGUGUUAGUGGAAGCGUCUGGAAAGGCGCGCGAUACAGGGUGACAGCCCCGUACACAAAAGCGCAUGUGCUGUGAGCUCGAUGAGUAGGGCGGGACACGUGGUAUCCUGUCUGAAUAUGGGGGGACCAUCCUCCAAGGCUAAAUACUCCUGACUGACCGAUAGUGAACCAGUACCGUGAGGGAAAGGCGAAAAGAACCCCGGCGAGGGGAGUGAAAAAGAACCUGAAACCGUGUACGUACAAGCAGUGGGAGCACAGGUUUACCUGUGUGACUGCGUACCUUUU
rnacentral:rRNA from 1 species